GAGGAGGAUCAGGUGCAGCAUUCAUCUGAGUCCUGAAAUAACUGGCUUCCUGACUACAAGGUGGUGGACAUAUGGCAGCCAGGAAAGAGAUUGAUGGAAAUGGUCUCCGAUGUCUGGGCAGAGCUUUUCUAGUCUUCUCUGAGAAGAACAACAUUCUUGGUAGACCACAGGCCUGGCUGUAAAACCCUGUGCAUGGAAAGGAUGAAGAACCAGAUGAGAGGAUGUGUCAAUAACACC
rnacentral:lncRNA from 1 species